rnacentral:tRNA from 1 species
GCCUGGGUGGCUCAGCUGGUAAGCGUCUGACUUUGGCUCAGGUCAUGAUCUCACAGUUCGUGGGUUCGAGCCCUGCAUCGGGCU